UCCAACGCUCAUCUUUGUUCUUUUUGGUUCAAAUAGUUUAGAGAAGUGACAAUGUGACAAGGACUGACACAACAUAUGCAUGAAAUACACAAAUAUAUCUUACACGUUACAACGAACCAGAGGUUUUGUAUUAUUUUUUUUUUUUUUUUAACAGGAGGUUCAAAGGUGACCCGUAAUCCGCACGUGGUUUCCGUUUGCCCAAAGGCCCGUAAUCCGCACAUGGUUUCCGAUUGCCAACCAUCUAAUCCCCCUGGCCCGGAACCAGCCGGCACUAAUACCCAUUACCCAAGGACCCAGCACCAACGCCGCGAUAACUUUAAACUUGGGGAGGUUUUGUAUUAUUCUUUGUCAUAACUUGAAAUUGGACAGAUAAGAUGUUCCAUCAAGGCCCUUCUUAAAGUAUCCUUUUGUAUACUCUUCUAAAGUAAACUCUCUGUAUUUUGGAGGGUUUUCUUCAGAGAGAAGCUCUU
rnacentral:lncRNA from 1 species